rnacentral:lncRNA from 14 species
CGCCUCGCUCUCGCGCCCUCCGGGGNUCCCCCUCCCGGCUCCUGUCCCUCUCUCCCGUGGGGCCUCUCCGCUGCUCUCCCUCCCCAGCCGUGCGUGUCCCCCGGCAGCCGGCGUGCGCUCGGCGCUGGAGCGCAUCCGGAGCGGCCGCGCAGCCGGCUGCCGGCUUUAGGAGUUCAUCGGGGCUCUCCGCUGGCCGUGGAAAUGUCUGUGCAUCAUCCUCCUCCUCCUGCCAGCCCGGCGCCUCACCAGGAAACUUUCGUCCUUGCGCGUUUCGGGUCCCUGCGGGGGUCACUCAUCCACCCGGCUGCCGGAACCUGGAGGACGUGAAAUCCAAAGAGACCUGGCACAUCAGCAGAGGAACCGAAGGUCCAGAUAUCCCCGUGGCUAAUCAAAGGCGAGACUGGGACGUUUGCAACCAGAGUCUUUUGUCUUUAAGGUGUCAUUAUUGACUUCCUUUGAACCAUUCUUUUCAAAUACUGGAUGAAGGCAUAAGGUCAGGAACCCACAGGACCUGUCUCAAAGACAUGAGCUGUGCUUCUUGUCGGGAAUACCCCUCUUCCCGUCCAAGUGAAACACCUGCAGGUCUGGCCAUACGGAACCUGGCAAUGCCAAACCUGCAAGCCAAAGAGGUGAACACGUGUAUUCAGGACACAAAGCUGCAGCUUUAACUUACAUGUGCUUGUUGUCGUGGUUGUUUCUGCAGGCUGAAUUUUCUGUCGGCCGGAUUUUGUGUGGUAUUAUACAUGAGCUUUAUGUAUAAAUUUCAACACUUCAGCUUUGUUAAAGCAGGGUUGCUGACUGGCAGAACAGCUGCAUAAUAGCCAAGUUUGCCGCUAAUAUUGCCUGCAAUAUUAGGGACAAACAUUAGAAAGUGUAUUUUGAUUGUUAUGUUACAAUGUUCUUAUUUUACAAAACAAUCAAGAGAAGUCAUUAACAAUAAAUUCAUUGCAAGGUAUCUUCA